rnacentral:rRNA from 1 species
GACGAACGCUGGCGGCGUGCUUAACACAUGCAAGUCGAACGGAAAGGCCCUGCUUUUGUGGGGUGCUCGAGUGGCGAACGGGUGAGUAACACGUGAGUAACCUGCCCUUGACUUUGGGAUAACUUCAGGAAACUGGGGCUAAUACCGGAUAGGAGCUCCUGCUGCAUGGUGGGGGUUGGAAAGUUUCGGCGGUUGGGGAUGGACUCGCGGCUUAUCAGCUUGUUGGUGGGGUAGUGGCUUACCAAGGCUUUGACGGGUAGCCGGCCUGAGAGGGUGACCGGCCACAUUGGGACUGAGAUACGGCCCAGGCUCCUACGGGAGGCAGCAGUGGGGAAUAUUGCACAAUGGGCGGAAGCCUGAUGCAGCAACGCCGCGUGCGGGAUGACGGCCUUCGGGUUGUAAACCGCUUUCGCCUGUGACGAAGCGUGAGUGACGGUAAUGGGUAAAGAAGCACCGGCUAACUACGU